GAUGAACGCUGGCGGCGUGCCUAAUACAUGCAAGUCGAGCGAACAGACGAGGAGCUUGCUCCUCUGACGUUAGCGGCGGACGGGUGAGUAACACGUGGAUAACCUACCUAUAAGACUGGGAUAACUUCGGGAAACCGGAGCUAAUACCGGAUAAUAUAUUGAACCGCAUGGUUCAAUAGUGAAAGACGGCUUUGCUGUCACUUAUAGAUGGAUUCGCGCCGCAUUAGCUAGUUGGUAAGGUAACGGCUUACCAAGGCAACGAUGCGUAGCCGACCUGAGAGGGUGAUCGGCCACACUGGAACUGAGACACGGUCCAGACGCCUACGGGAGGCAGCAGUAGGGAAUCUUCCGCAAUGGGCGAAAGCCUGACGGAGCAACGCCGCGUGAGUGAUGAAGGUCUUCGGAUCGUAAAGCUCUGUUAUUGGGGAAGAACAAAUGUGUAAGUAACUAUGCACGUCUUGACGGUACCUAAUCAAAAAGCCACGGCUAACUACGUG
rnacentral:rRNA from 1 species